CUCCGCGGAGAGGGCGCCAGAUUCAGUUUUCUGUUUGCCUCUCGUCGGGUGCGGACGUCUGGCGCGUCGCUCGUAUCGUGACCGUUGAUGUGCUGGUGAACUCUUUAGUCAUGUAAAGAAGAUGGAGGGCGGUGUGUGUGCACACAGAUAUGCUUGGAUGUCGUCCCCAUGAUGACAGCGGUGCUGCCACCUGACGUGAUGCUUUCCGACCUGCCUGGUGUGACGCUUUGCAAAUGGCGGCGCCCAUGGGCUGAUGCUAUUACCGAACCUGGACUGACACAUUAAUGAAUUGAAUGUGUAUAGUAAUGACCUGAAUUAUUAAAUGAGUUUAGAAAGUGCA